GAGUUGCGGUGUUUCUCUAUGUUGGUUUUCUAAAGAGUAAAAUGGAGAGGCCAUGAUGAGGCCUCCCCAAGAAAGGAGAGAUCUGGGUUUGAGGAACAAAAUAACUGACAUUCCUCAAGCUUCUCUCUACCACUGUGGCUGCUGUUCUAUUGAUCUUGAAGCUGUGCGUCUUUCCGUUGAGCAGGGUCCACUGCAGAGGACUCUGCCCUGUGAAGGAAGGAGCCAUCAGGACACAGAGGAGACAUGUCUCAACUCCUUUAGGUGGUGAUGGUGAUUUGAGGAGUUAUGGUGGCUUGCUAAUUGGAAUCUGGUCUGACCAGAUCAGGAGGAGGGAAGGAAGUUGGGAAUAGGGUAGAGGGAAGUCAGACCUAUGUGUUGUUCCCAUUGCCUUGGUCAUAGAGUAACUGUGAAUUUUAUUUUAAUUGUCAACUUGACUCUGUCUAGAAUCACCCGGGAAAGAACUGUCUAAGGGGAAGGGAUAGGAUGUCUCAGGGCAGAGAUCAUCUUGAUGACGUUAACUGUAUGUAAGUUGAAAGGUCAACCAAUGAUUGGCACCUGGGCAUUGAUUAAGUCCUGAACCAUUGAAGACUGGAGUGCUGGCAUGCCGCAGUCAUUGAAUUGCUCUCUGUUCUUGACUGUUGAUGAUGUAAGGAGAUUGACUGCUCCAAGUCCCUGCUUCCUUGACUUCCCUGCCCUGACUGGGGCUGGAAUUGUGGGCCAGAUUUACUCCCUUAAAGCUCCCUAAAGCUGCAUUUACAAUUCAGGGUAUUUUUUUUUCUUACCGGUGUAGCAAGAAAUGGGACUUAGACAGUGAUGCAUUGCCAGUAGCUAAGGGCCUCCCAUCAGUUUCCACUCCACAGUGGACAGAGGAGUCUGGUUUGGUUUGGUUUCCUUUAAUGAAAAUAAACCUAUGAUUGAACAGAAGUUGAUCACAAAAUCCCCCACUAUCCAGGGAGGAAAUUUGACAGCAUCAGGUACCUGGGCUAGUGAAUGGAUACCAGGAGGUUAUGGGUAAGAUU
rnacentral:lncRNA from 1 species